GAUGAACGCUGGCGGCGUGCUUAACACAUGCAAGUCGAACGAUGAAGCCCAGCUUGCUGGGUGGAUUAGUGGCGAACGGGUGAGUAACACGUGAGUAACCUGCCCUUAACUCUGGGAUAAGCCUGGGAAACUGGGUCUAAUACCGGAUAGGAGCGUCCACCGCAUGGUGGGUGUUGGAAAGAUUUAUCGGUUUUGGAUGGACUCGCGGCCUAUCAGCUUGUUGGUGAGGUAAUGGCUCACCAAGGCGACGACGGGUAGCCGGCCUGAGAGGGUGACCGGCCACACUGGGACUGAGACACGGCCCAGACUCCUACGGGAGGCAGCAGUGGGGAAUAUUGCACAAUGGGCGCAAGCCUGAUGCAGCGACGCCGCGUGAGGGUUGACGGCCUUCGGGUUGUAAACCUCUUUCAGUAGGGAAGAAGCGAAAGUGACGGUACCUGCAGAAGAAGCACCGGCUAACUACGUG
rnacentral:rRNA from 1 species